rnacentral:misc_RNA from 1 species
UCAAACUUGGUCAUUUAGAGGAAGUAAAAGUCGUAACAAGGUUUCCGUAGGUGAACCUGCGGAAGGAUCAUUACCGAGUUAGGGUCUCCUCCGUGAGGCCCGACCUCCCAACCCUGUGUCUACUCAACUUGUACGUGUUGCUUCGGCGGACCAGCAGUCCCCCGCUUACCGCGGGGAACCGUCGCCGGGGGGGAAAAACGGUCCUCUGUGGCCGCCUCUGGAGAGCGUCCGCCGAUGGCCCAACCCAAACAACUCCCAAAUCCAAAUAAUAUUAUACCUAAACGUCUGAAUCAGACCAUUUUGAUACACCAAUCAAAAACAAAACUUUCAACAACGGAUCUCUUGGUUCUGGCAUCGAUGAAGAACGCAGC